rnacentral:rRNA from 1 species
UGGGGAAUAUUGCGCAAUGGGGGGAACCCUGACGCAGCCAUGCCGCGUGAAUGAAGAAGGCCUUAGGGUUGUAAAGUUCUUUCGGUAUUGAGGAAGGUUGAUGUGUUAAUAGCACAUCAAAUUGACGUUAAAUACAGAAGAAGCACCGGCUAACUCCGUGCCAGCAGCCGCAGUAAUACGGAGGGUGCGAGCGUUAAUCGGAAUAACUGGGCGUAAAGGGCACGCAGGCGGUUAUUUAAGUGAGGUGUGAAAGCCCCGGGCUUAACCUGGGAAUUGCAUUUCAGACUGGGUAACUAGAGUACUUUAGGGAGGGGUAGAAUUCCACGUGUAGCGGUGAAAUGCGUAGAGAUGUGGAGGAAUACCGAAGGCGAAGGCAGCCCCUUGGGAAUGUACUGACGCUCAUGUGCGAAAGCGUGGGGAGCAAACAGGAUUAGAUACCCUGGUAGUCCACGCUGUAAACGCUGUCGAUUUGGGGGUUGGGGUUUAACUCUGGCGCCCGUAGCUAACGUGAUAAAUCGACCGCCUGGGGAGUACGGCCGCAAGGUUA